rnacentral:rRNA from 1 species
ACGGGAGGCAGCAGUGGGGGAUAUUGCACAAUGGGGGAAACCCUGAUGCAGCGACGCCGCGUGAGUGAUGAAGUAUUUCGGUAUGUAAAGCUCUAUCAGCAGGGAAGAUAAUGACGGUACCUGACUAAGAAGCCCCGGCUAACUACGUGCCAGCAGCCGCGGUAAUACGUAGGGGGCAAGCGUUAUCCGGAUUUACUGGGUGUAAAGGGAGUGUAGGUGGCAACACAAGUCAGAAGUGAAAGCCCGGGGCUCAACCCCGGGACUGCUUUUGAAACUGUGUAGCUAGAGUACAGGAGAGGCAAGUGGAAUUCCUAGUGUAGCGGUGAAAUGCGUAGAUAUUAGGAGGAACACCAGUGGCGAAGGCGGCUUGCUGGACUGUAACUGACACUGAGGCUCGAAAGCGUGGGGAGCAAACAGGAUUAGAUACCCUGGUA